rnacentral:rRNA from 1 species
UACGUAGGGUGCGAGCGUUGUCCGGAAUUACUGGGCGUAAAGAGCUCGUAGGUGGUUUGUCGCGUUGUCCGUGAAAACUCACAACUCAAUUGUGGGCGUGCGGGCGAUACGGGCAGACUGGAGUACUGCAGGGGAGACUGGAAUUCCUGGUGCAGCGGUGGAAUGCGCAGAUAUCAGGAGGAACACCGGUGGCGAAGGCGGGUCUCUGGGCAGUAACUGACGCUGAGGAGCGAAAGCGUGGGGAGCGAACAGG